GAGACCCUACCCAGAGUCUCUGCUUCCCCUCAGAGAGGACUGGCUUGGAUCUGACCAUUCCACCAACGAUGAGCAGUAGCUGUUGCUAGAAUCACUCCAACCACCAGAGGCUUCUCCCAAUAGGAGUAUCAAAUCCAGAAAAUGACAAUGAAAAUAAAAACUAAAUUGACACAGCUUUAAAUAAUUCCUUUGCAAGAAAAAUAAUUUCUCACAAGAUCUAAUUCCAACUCUGUAGGGAUGCCAUUAUUAUUUUAUUUUCUAAAAUAGAACACCUGUUGCAGUCAAUAAUUUGUGAUAAUUCUUAAUAUUCUUGCCUACACCUAGAGCCCAAAAUAGCCAUGCCCCUGAAAUGGUGGCUACUUUGGGGGAGUGACUUAGGUCAGUGACUAUUUCAUAACAUCAUCAGCAUGUUUCAAAACUUUCUACCUGAUAUUUAAAUGAAAACUAGAGAUAAUCAGUAACUGAAGGUCAUCUUUAAUCUAUCCUCUUAACUCUUGAAUUCUAAAGGAAGGUUGUUUGGCAAAUUGGCCUCUUUCUUGUAUGAAGUAUCAUCUGAGGUGUCAAGUGUUAAAGAAUUAAAAACAAAAGUAGCAUCAUUGCUGUCAAUCAGUAGGAGCUCUGGUUGGCUUUUUGUUGCAAAAACGUGAUGCUUUCUAAAUGGAAGGAGCAAUCAGCCCAUGUCAGGCCUGCCACCAGGAACGUCUGACGCUAUCACACUUGAGGGCCAUCCCACAGGCUGAGCCAAUCACUUGACGUUCAAUGGAACUUAACAAUGAAAUACGCUACAAUAAAAGUGUCGACUGAGAGCAUCACAACAUAUAACUAAAGUUGUCUGUAUUUUGCAGGCUUUCUAAAAUGAAAAACCUUGACCUGUCUUUUCUCAAAUGGGCUUACUGGCACUUGACAGUCUUUCCAUUGCCGCCCUCGUUUGGCAAGAAACACGGUAAGACAUACUCCCAUGUUAGAGAGAAAUGGCAGGGGACCAAAAAAUAAAAGUGUCUUUGAUUUCUGUAAACAUGAAUUGUGUCUAGCUUGGCUUUAUGUGCGUUUGAAGGAAUAGAGAAAGAAAAAGCAAGGCAUACUUUUUCCUUACGGGAAAGACAGAAAAACUGUCAGCUUUUUUCUUUUUUUGGAAAAGAAUUAUUUAGUAGUUUUUCCUGUUGGAUGUUUCUUUUAUUUUUAUAGUGAAGACAGUGAUGAUCCAUUGCUAGAACUUAUGAAAAAUAAUUUUAACAUGGAAUUGUAUUUUCAAAAUUAAUGGGCCUGGAAAAGGUGGCUCUUUAAAUUAAAAAAAGAAUAUUUUUAAAUUACAUUUAUGGGAAUGUCAUUCAUCCCUGAUUUACAUCCAAAUGUUCUAGCAGUAAGGAUGAAUGUGUUUGUUUGCCCAAUGAGUAAAAUCUUCCCAGGCACAAAAGUAGACUCUGACUUAUUUUACACAACUCAAUUUGCUUGUUGCAAUGGCAAUCUUUAAAAGAGUAGUGUAAAGGUGAAACGUUCACAAGAACAAAGUCCAUGUCUGUUUUGUAAAUCAUUCUAUGUACCAUCUUGACACAUAGCAGGUCUAUCUUCAAGCAUAUUUCUUUUUACACAUUUUCAUUGCUUUUAAGGAAGUCCCAAAGUUGGUGAUGUAUUAAUAUUUCCUAACAUCUGAUAAUUCGGGGUUCAUGAUGCUUGUCAAUGCUCUUCGUUGGAAACUCUAUGAACAUUAGGAAGACUUUAAAAGGCACUCCAGAGGAUGACUUGACUUGUAGGGACUAGGGUAAAGAAGUUUUGUUCAUAAUUAUUUUUAAACAGUCUUCAAGACAGCAAAGUAAAUGAAAAUUGGUUUGAUGUGUACAUGUGAAGUAGGAUGGUCAUAGACUUUCAGAGCUGGAUUGAUACUUUAGAAGUCUUCUCAUUCAAAGUUUUGAAUUCUGUAUUUUCACUGUUUUUUUAAUAAAACGUUUUUUAAAAGAUGCUCUUUUAUAGUUCUCAGGGCUAAAAUUUUUAGAAGUUUAAUGUAAAUGGUAAAACAAUAACUAGAAGAACCUGAAAUUUUAUUAAAUGUUCACUAUGUUAAAUAGCAAAUAUCAGUAGUCCAGUAAUUAUUUGACUCUGAACGGAAUUUUAUUAUGGAAUACAAAAGCUAUUAUAUAGCUGUAAUUCAUACAAUAUCAAAAGAAGUUUUGUUGUUUUAUUCUGUCUAAUCAUUAACUAAUAAUAAAUAAACUUGAAAUCCUCAAAAAAAAUAAUAAUCCUUAAAAGAGAAACUACAUAGAUACUGGCAUUAAUCUGUUUAAAAUAUACACGAUAAAACUUUAUUUGGGGACAGAAACAUUAUUAUCAAGAAACAAUUUCCAGAUGUGAAAAAGCCAUCUUUCAUGGAUGAUAUUAAUUUCUCAAGCAGUUUCUUCAUGUCUGUUUGAUUUCUCAACCCAUACAAAGGCAGAGAUAAUUCAUGCAUAUGCCCCACUUGAAUUUGAAAAGUACAUAGCUGGCCCCUUUGCAUUCAUUUGCCAUCUUAUAGAAAGUCUGCAUUUUCCCCCUUUCCUUCCAAGAAAAUGAAUUCAAGAUAAAUUUAGGGACUUUAGCUCUCCUCACACCAUCUUCUAUUCUUAGGGUAAUUUGGAAAAAAAAUAUUAAAGAUGUCCUGUACACUAAGGUUUCUUGGAAAAAUGCAGGAGCCACUAUGGUUAGGGUGAGGUAUACCUUCGUUGGAUACAGAGUGUUUAGAUGAUGGUGAUGGGUUUUGUGAACAUCCUUCCCAUUCAUGGUUCCAUCCCUGAAGAUCUGCAGAAAUUUUCAAGAUGUCACUGGUGGUUCUCCCUGAAGCGUCUUUUGUGGGACGGAGAUGUAGUGGGUACAUGUUUUUACACUAUGAGUCCUGCCAAAUCCUGAGUCUAAGCUUCACUGAAAGAAAUCCUAGGAGACGACUUUUGUAGACAGCACUCUUCUCCUCAUCUCCCGCCCCAGUGCUGUCUGUGAAAUAAACAACAAAGCAGAGCGACUGAGCCUGCUUGGGUCUGGAAGUCUUGAUUAUGUGUCACUCUUGACUGAUGUCAUGACAAUAUCAUAAUACCCUUUGGAGAACAGAGAGCAAAUCAGGGUUAUAGACACUUCAAUAUUUUCAGAGAUUUUAUUAGAGAUGGGAGAACCACAAAUAUCAAAGCAAGAAAUUAUAAUACUGGGAUUAUUCUCUGGAAAGCAAGUAAUUAUGAAUGUCAGGACUUGAAUGCUUCUGUGAAGGGGAUUUUCAUGACACAUUUAGGCACACGGCAGAUUCGCCACUGUUUAUAAUUUCUCUUCCUGACAUCAAGUAGUGGUGUUCUCACAAUCAAUGGCAUAUGCUUCCUUUGUACCAGGGACCAAUUAUUCUGUCACAACAGAAUGGAAGCCUGCAGCAGGUGACAUCAUGUCCUUGGAGCUUCAGUGGUUCACAAUUGCUAGAACCAGCUUGGUGUGAAUGACAGCCAUGAAGGGAAGGCAGAGCCCUUGCUGGUACACCUGCUGUUUUGUUGAAUAAUAAGGGAAAACUCAGCUAAUGCCCCUUACUCUCUUGUUUUCAGGCAGUAAACAAACCUGAAAUUAACACAAUGUACUCUGCGAAUACUGAUAUCAACCGUAUGGAGUUAGUACCACCCUAGUUCUCAAAUCUAAAUACCAACACUAGCUUCUGACAUUUGCAUAUACUGUCACAUAUGUCAUUGCAGUUCCUCACCAAAAACCUGCGAUGUAAUUAUGCGAUGAGAAUGCUUCUCUGUGAAUGAAGCUUGCAUGGGGAGAAGAAAUAAAAACAGGAGGUUAGUGGAAAGAUGCGGAGUUUCCAUGAAGAAGACAGUACAUUCCAGUAGUGAAGUGAGUGGACCCUGGAAACAAACUACCUGAUUUCAGGUCAUGCUUCUGCAACUGCCUCGUUAUGUGUCUUCAGAGGAGAGGAUGGGUAUAUUCAACCACAACGACCAGCCAGUCGAGUCUUUGUAUAAUGAAUCAUUUGGUAACAUGGACUCUGCAAGAGAUGCAGAAAAGAUGUAUUCUGAAGAGAGAAAGCCUGGAGCCGCCUCACCUCAUGUUCGACGACUAGCCUCCCUGAGAAGGCUUCAAACACAACACAGUUUGAUGUUGAUUCAGCAACAUAUGGAACGGGACGAGAAAGAACUCCAUACUGUUCCUAUCUUCACUAAGAAAUUACACUCAAGCUUAUCACAGCAAAGAGCCUCUGUAUUUUGAUGUCUAACUGUAACACAUCUAUAAUAAAUCUAAUGGCAGAUACUGAAAAGUCAGAAAAAAGUGUUCCAGGGAUCAAAGAACUGAGAGAGAAGAAAAGAUAUCCAAGAGGUCACACACUUUGGUAGUGUGACUUUAUUUAGGAUGCAGCUAAAAGCAUCUACCUUAGAAGGUCUCUUAGAGAGUUCAAUAAAUAUAACUACCAGGGUGCCUAUGCAUCUAAUUAAACAUGCCAAAUCUUGU